rnacentral:rRNA from 1 species
AGUUUGAUCAUGGCUCAGAUUGAACGCUGGCGGCAGGCCUAACACAUGCAAGUCGAGCGGCAGCGGGAAAGUAGCUUGCUACUUUUGCCGGCGAGCGGCGGACGGGUGAGUAAUGCCUGGGAAAUUGCCCAGUCGAGGGGGAUAACAGUUGGAAACGACUGCUAAUACCGCAUACGCCCUACGGGGGAAAGCAGGGGACCUUCGGGCCUUGCGCGAUUGGAUAUGCCCAGGUGGGAUUAGCUAGUUGGUGAGGUAAUGGCUCACCAAGGCGACGAUCCCUAGCUGGUCUGAGAGGAUGAUCAGCCACACUGGAACUGAGACACGGUCCAGACUCCUACGGGAGGCAGCAGUGGGGAAUAUUGCACAAUGGGGGAAACCCUGAUGCAGCCAUGCCGCGUGUGUGAAGAAGGCCUUCGGGUUGUAAAGCACUUUCAGCGAGG